AUUGAACGCUGGCGGCAUGCUUUACACGUGCAAGUCGAACGGCAGCGCGGGGCAACCUGGCGGCGAGUGGCGAACGGGUGAGUAAUAUAUCGGAACGUACCCAGAAGUGGGGGAUAACGUAGCGAAAGUUACGCUAAUACCGCAUACGAUCUACGGAUGAAAGUAGGGGACCGCAAGGCCUUAUGCUUUUGGAGCGGCCGAUAUCUGAUUAGCUAGUUGGUGAGGUAAAGGCUCACCAAGGCGACGAUCAGUAGCUGGUCUGAGAGGACGACCAGCCACACUGGAACUGAGACACGGUCCAGACUCCUACGGGAGGCAGCAGUGGGGAAUUUUGGACAAAGGGCGCAAGCCUGAUCCAGCAAUGCCGCGUGAGUGAAGAAGGCCUUCGGGUUGUAAAGCUCUUUUGUCAGGGAAGAAACGGUAGAGGCUAAUAUCCUUUGCUAAUGACGGUACCUGAAGAAUAAGCACCGGCUAACUACGUG
rnacentral:rRNA from 1 species